AUGGCAGAGUUGGGAGUCAAGGAGGAUGAUCUGCAGGAUGUGAUCGUAGAAGAGGACGAGCUCCCGGAGGAGGCGACCCGCUGGAUGGCAAUUGCUAGGGUUCAUACUGAUAAAACCUACAGUCAGUAUUGGUUCUUCCGCAAUAUGCGGGUGGCAUGGGAUCUAGCCCAAGAGGUGAAGAUUAAACCACUCGAGGAAAAUCUCUAUACAAUGCAGUUUUCGUGUUUGGGGGACUGGGAA
rnacentral:rRNA from 1 species